rnacentral:rRNA from 1 species
CCUUCGGGCGGCAGCAGUGGGGAAUAUUGGACAAUGGGGGGAACCCUGAUCCAGCCAUGCCGCGUGUGUGAAGAAGGCCCUCGGGUUGUAAAGCACUUUCAGUGAGGAAGAACGCCUGGUGGUUAAUACCCAUCAGGAAAGACAUCACUCACAGAAGAAGCACCGGCUAACUCCGUGCCAGCAGCCGCGGUAAUACGGAGGGUGCGAGCGUUAAUCGGAAUUACUGGGCGUAAAGCGCGCGUAGGUGGCUUGAUAAGCCGGUUGUGAAAGCCCCGGGCUCAACCUGGGAACGGCAUCCGGAACUGUCAAGCUAGAGUGCAGGAGAGGAAGGUAGAAUUCCCGGUGUAGCGGUGAAAUGCGUAGAGAUCGGGAGGAAUACCAGUGGCGAAGGCGGCCUUCUGGACUGACACUGACACUGAGGUGCGAAAGCGUGGGUAGCAAACAGGAUUAGAUACCCGGGUAGUC